rnacentral:rRNA from 1 species
UACGGAGGGGGCAAGCGUUGUCCGGAAUCAUUGGGCGUAAAGCGUGCGUAGGCGGUUCGUUAAGUCUGUUGUGAAAGCCCCGGGCUCAACCUGGGAAUGGCAAUGGAUACUGGCGAGCUAGAGUGUGUCAGAGGAUGGUGGAAUUCCCGGUGUAGCGGUGAAAUGCGUAGAGAUCGGGAGGAACAUCAGUGGCGAAGGCGGCCAUCUGGGACAACACUGACGCUGAGGCACGAAAGCGUGGGGAGCAAACAGG